rnacentral:rRNA from 1 species
CCGCACGGGUGAGUAACACGUAUGCAAUCCACCUGUAACAGGGGAUAACCCGGAGAAAUCCGGACUAAUACCCCAUAAUAUGGGCGCUCCGCAUGGAGAGUCCAUUAAAGAGAGCAAUCUUGGUUACAGACGAGCAUGCGCUCCAUUAGCCAGUUGGCGGGGUAACGGCCCACCAAGGCGACGAUGGAUAGGGGUUCUGAGGGGAAGGUCCCCCACAUUGGAACUGAGACACGGUCCAA